GAUGAACGCUGGCGGCGUGCCUAAUACAUGCAAGUCGAGCGAACGGACGAGAAGCUUGCUUCUCUGAUGUUAGCGGCGGACGGGUGAGUAACACGUGGAUAACCUACCUAUAAGACUGGGAUAACUUCGGGAAACCGGAGCUAAUACCGGAUAAUAUUUUGAACCUCAUUGUUCAAAAGUGAAAGACGGUCUUGCUGUCACUUAUAGAUGGAUCCGCGCUGCAUUAGCUAUUUGGUAAGGUAACGGCUUACCAAGGCAACGAUGCAUAGCCGACCUGAGAGGGUGACCGGCAACACUGGAACUGAGAAACGGUCCAGACUCCUACGGGAGGCAGCAGUAGGGAAUCUUGCGCAAUGGGCGAAAGCCUGACGGAGAAACGCCGCGUGAGUGAUGAAGGUCUUCGGAUCGUAAAACUCUGUUAUUAGGGAAGACCAUAUGUGUAAGUAACUGUGCACAUCUUGACGGUACCUAAUCAGAAAGCCACGGCUAACUACGUG
rnacentral:rRNA from 1 species